AUUCUGGUGCUUAGACAAGGAUGCUAUUCUUUCAUCAGUUUCAAAAUAAAUCACAGAGCUGUAGAAUGCAAUAAAAUACAGAGGUUAUGCUGCCAGAUAACAACCGUGUGUAUGUCUCCAAGACCAUAUGACAGGAUGGCAAGACAGCUUUGAGCUGCUGUCGCAAAGAGUUUCAAAGGUGACAACCAGCACUUUGAGUUGGACCUGGAGGCUUUUCGGUCAUGCAUGUCAAUUUAUAUCAUUUGCAUCAUUACAUAAUGAUGCAAAUUAACAGAACUAGAGUGAAAACAUCAUGUGCAUAAUUAUGCAAAAUAUGAAAUUACUGAAUUUGUGUGAAUGUGGACUGAACAGUAAAAAGUAUUAUUACUUU